rnacentral:rRNA from 1 species
CGCGUAGGCGGUCUGUCCAGUUAGGCGUGAAAGGCCUGGGCUUAACCCAGGAAUGGCGCUUAAUACUGACGGGCUUGAGAUUGGAAGAGGAGAGUGGAAUUCCCAGUGUAGAGGUGAAAUUCGUAGAUAUUGGGAAGAACACCGGUGGCGAAGGCGGCUCUCUGGUCCACAUCUGACGCUGAGGCGCGAAAGCGUGGGGAGCAAACAGGAUUAGAUACCCUGGUAGUCCACGCCGUAAACGAUGAGUGCUAGACGUUGGGGGGCUUGGCUCCUCGGUGUCGCAGCUAACGCGUUAAGCACUCCGCCUGGGGAGUACGGUCGCGAGAUUAAA